rnacentral:rRNA from 1 species
UCCUGGCUCAGAUUGAACGCUGGCGGCGUGCUUAACACAUGCAAGUCGCGCGUGAAAGGACUUCGGUCCGAGUAAAGCGGCGCACGGGUGAGUAACGCGUGGAUGAUCUACCCAUGAGUUAGGAAUAACGGCUGGAAACGGUCGCUAAUACCAAAUACGCUCCGAUUUCAACUUCGGGGGGAAAGGUGGCCUCUGCUUGCAAGCUACUGCUCAUGGAUGAGUCCGCGUCCCAUUAGCUAGUUGGUGGGGUAACGGCCCACCAAGGCGACGAUGGGUAGCCGGUCUGAGAGGAUGACCGGCCACACUGGGACUGGAACACGGCCCAGACUCCUACGGGAGGCAGCAGUGGGGAAUAUUGCGCAAUGGGCGAAAGCCUGACGCAGCGACGCCGCGUGAGGGAUGAAGGUCCUCGGAUCGUAAACCUCUGUCAGGAGGGAAGAACCGCCACGGUGCUAAUCAGCCGUGGUCUGACGGUACCUCCAAAGGAAGCACCGGCUAACUCCGUGCCAGCAGCCGC